CGAGCUAGUGACAGAAACGGACGCCGGAAGCUGGACGGUCCGCUAGCCCACCGCCGACUGAGAGCGGGAGCCGACUCCGCCCUAAAGAGCAUGUGGAAGAGGGGACAGAUCAAUACCCCAUCUUCCUGCCCUCCAUCAGUCCACCCUGGUAUGAUGUGCCCAAGCAGUUCUGAAUAAUCUUCCCGGAAAAAAAAUAAAGCAACUGCAAUGAGUUUGUGCAAUGAUCCUAACAGUAAUGAAUAAUAAUAACACACCACUGACAGCGAGCGCUGAGCGCUCAUGGCGUGCAAGGCACCAUGCAGAGGGUUUCCCUCACAUGUCCUUUAAGGAUAGAAAGAGGGACAAAGAGGAAAUUCUGUUAGGUGCAGGUCAGUGAACUCUGAAUAGGUCAUGUACCAGCUGAGACUCAGAAACCUGCAGGGAUCUGGCUGAUGGGCAGGAUGCAUGCCGGCUGCACCGUGAGUCAGCACCAGGCUGGGAGUCGCAGCCACUCGGGAUCCAAGGGACUCAAACAUCUGCACCCUGGCCCCAGGCCAAGAGAACAAGCUGCAGCGGCCCUGUAGGGUAGGCUCAAAAUGAAACAACUUUGUUAUUUCUUAGUGGAUGGGAACUGAAGGAACCUGAACAACCAGUGCACAAGGAUUCGUAAAUGGACCAAACGUGCUUGCUUUCUGUUCU